rnacentral:rRNA from 1 species
CCUUCGGGAGGCAGCAGUGGGGAAUAUUGGGCAAUGGGCGCAAGCCUGACCCAGCAACGCCGCGUGAAGGAUGAAGGCUCUCGGGUUGUAAACUUCUUUUUUCAGGGACGAAGCAAGUGACGGUACCUGAGGAAUAAGCCACGGCUAACUACGUGCCAGCAGCCGCGGUAAUACGUCGGUGGCAAGCGUUAUCCGGAUUUACUGGGUGUAAAGGGCGUGUAGGCGGGACUGCAAGUCAGAUGUGAAAACCACGGGCUCAACCUGUGGACUGCAUUUGAAACUGUAGUUCUUGAGUACUGGGGAGGCAGGCGGAAUUCGUAGUGUAGCGGUGAAAUGCGUAGAUAUUAGGAGGAACACCAGUGGCGAAGGCAGUCUGCUGGACAGCAACUGACGCUGAGGCGCGAAAGCGUGGGGAUCAAACAGGAUUAGAUACCCUAGUAGUC